rnacentral:rRNA from 1 species
GCUCCAAUAGCGUAUAUUAAAGUUGUUGCAGUUAAAAAGCUCGUAGUUGAACUUCUGCGUACCUCAGUUCUGGCCUUGGUCAAGCUGUCGCGUGCGCAUCCGCUUGCAAACCCCAGACCGGCCUUCACUGGUCGACUGGGGGGAGUAAGCCUUUACUUUGAAAAAAUUAGAGUGUUUCAGGCAGGCAAUGGCUCGAAUAC